rnacentral:miRNA from 1 species
UUGGCAUGCAGGAUCUAGGAACAUGGAGGGAUAAGUUUUUGCCUUGGGCCCUGCUGCCCCCGCCAUACCACUCCUUCCCAGGUGUACAGACGUAA